rnacentral:tRNA from 1 species
GAUGCGGUAGCCGAGAGGUCAGGCGCCUGUCCGCAAGACAGGAUACGAGGGUUCGAUUCCUUCCCGCAUCU